rnacentral:tmRNA from 1 species
GGGGGCGAACAGGGUUCGACCGGGCAGUAGAAGUGGAAGUGGCGUGCCGUGGUUGGUCAGUUGGCCACGUAAAAAGCUGACCGCAAAUUUCAAUUGCCGAGGAUAACCUCGUACUGGCUGCGUAGAAACACGUAGUCCCGGCUGAGGGCUUUUGCCGGAGAGGCCCGACUGCCGGCCAACAAUUCCGGAUCGUCUCGGGUCACUGUUGGGCACGCCCGGGAUUAGAAACUGUACCUGACUAGCGAGCCGAGAACCCCGCCGGCAGGGGUCUGGCGAGUGAAGACUGAAAUGAGUCGGCUACGCACGUAGAAGCUUUCAUGGAUAUGUCGCGGGACGCGGGUUCGAUUCCCGCCGCCUCCAUUC